rnacentral:misc_RNA from 1 species
AUUGAUGCGAACUUAAUGUCUAAUAGAGCUAAAUGGCCAAAAAAGAAAGAAUUCAUAUAACUGAGUCAAACUAAUUUGGGAUUAGGGUCAGAUGUUCUUGUUGUUUUACGGCAUAUUCAAAAUUAGAUCACAAAAUUUCCUUGUUAAUGUUGGAAGGAAGAGAAAACAUGCAACAUUGGAAGAAGACAAGGCAUGCGCCUAAAGAAAAGUGGGUUUA